CUAGAGCCAGUGAAGAUGAACGCGACGGUGGAGAUGAAGACCAAAGUCGUCAACAGGAAUUUUACUGAUGAACUCAAAAAUCCAUCCUCAGAUGCUUACAAGGACUUUGAGAAAAUGUUCCAGGAGAAGGUCGGGACUCCACAAUGCCAGGGGUGGCCCUGGGGACAGCCCCUUGAGGGGGAUGUGGGCCGUGAUGGGGACCUGGCUCUUCCCUGCCUUCUCUUUGUCUUCCAGAUGUUGAUGAUUUAUAGGCACAUUGAGGACUACCAAGGUGUGGUCAUCAAAAACCUGAGCUCGGGCAGCGUUGAGGUGGUCUAUGACGCCCUCCUGGAGGUCCUCGCCAGCUCCAGGGUCAACGACACGCUGAAGAACAUCUCCAAGAACUUCGCCACUGCCUUCCAAAACUACACCGACUGCGAUGAGACCUGCACAGGGGACAAAUGUGAGUGAGCCCAGGGGUCAUCCCACCACUGUGACCACCACCAUGACCACCAUGACCACCAUGACCAUUCCCAUCAGGUGCUUGGACCAGCACCGGCUCCUCGCUGGGGGCUGCUGGCCUUGGGGUGGCCCACCAGCAUCUCCUCUCUCCACGCCAGGUUCUUUCUGCUUCAAUGCCACAGAAGUCCUCAACUACAGGCCGGAACCGUUGAAAGAAGGUCUGUGCGACGCCUACAUCCAGGAGGGCUUCCAAACCUUCUACAGACCAUCCCUGACGGACACCGGCGUCGUCUGCGUCACGCCCUGCGACGCCCGCCACGCCCACCCCCUGCCCUGCGUCCAUGGCAGCUGCUCCGUCAGCCGGGCGGGGCCGCAGUGCCAGUGCUCGGACCAGCUGAUCUUCUGGUACCAGGACAAAGCCUGCAGGUCCCGUGUCAGCAAGGUGGGCGUGGCCAUAGGGGUUCCGGUGGCCAUCUUGGUCCUGGUCACCACCAUCUUCACCGUCCUUCUGCUGAGGUCUCGGCGGCAGAAGGAACAGUACAGGGAAAGGCUGAGGUCCCGCUCGGAGCUGUACGGCAGCGACGACGAGAACUGGGACGCGUCGCAAGGCUUUGCCGCGGGGAACCCGGCGGCCACCUGGGAAGACAUGGAGACCUCCAGCACGCCCCACAUCAACCUGGAGAUGGUGGACACCUCGAGGAUGGUGGGUGACACCACCCCUGAUGUUGUCCUCCUUUUAUCCCCCACCCCAUCAUCAUCAUCAUCCUCCCCUCUCCUUCCUCCCCAGAUGCACAUCCGGAGACCGACCGUGGUCCCACCAGUGGGGCCACCCGAGAGCCAGCGGGGACAGGACGCGGGGACACGGAGACGCGUGGAGGGGGGACACAGGGACACGAGGACAUAGGGACACGGGGACACGGCGGUGACGAGCAGCGGGAAAUCCACCGUCCUCUUCCUCCCCUCACAGCUGUUUGCACAGAGAGCU
rnacentral:lncRNA from 1 species